rnacentral:rRNA from 1 species
UCAAAGAUUAAGCCAUGCAUGUCUAAGUCCAAGCUGUGUUCACACGGCGAGACCGCGGACGGCUCAUUAAAUCAGUCGUGGUCCAAAUGGGCCAGUGCAAAUCCUACUUGGAUAACUGUGGUAAUUCCAGAGCUAAUACAUGCAACUGAUAUCCCGAAGGCGGUGUUGGGGCUUGCUUGCCUUGCGCUGCGCUGCUCUGACGGAUGCUUUUAUUAGACCAAGCCGCUGAGGACUUGAGGGUUCGCGCUCUCUUGUUUGACUCGUGUGAUGGUGACUCUGGAUAACCAAAUUCUGACAAGCGCACGUACUUCUCUUCUGAGCGAGACGGCGCUGCCACUUUCGAGUGUCUGCCUUAUCAGCUAUCAACCGUUCGUUAUGCGCGACCGAUGGCUUUGACGGGUAACGGGGAAUCAGGGUUCGAUUCCGGAGAGGCAGCCUGAGAGACGGCUACCACGUCCAAGGACGGCAGCAGGCACGCAAAUUACCCAAUCCCAGCAAAUGGGGGAGGUAGUGACGAAAUCUAACGAUGCGGGCGCCCUUUCUGGGGCCCCGCAAUCGGAAUGGGCACUUUCUAAACAACCUGUUGAGAACCUACUGAA